GUCGUACGGGAGUUUUUAACUCAAGUGGCGGACGGGUGAGUAACACGUGAGUAUUUACCUUUAGGAGGGGGAUAACAGUUGGAAACGGCUGCUAAUACCCCAUAUGCUUUAGAGUGAAAAAGAUUUAUCUGCCUAAAGAAAAGCUCGCGGCUGAUUAGCUAGUUGGUGAGGUAAUGGCUCACCAAGGCGACGAUCAGUAUCUGGUUUGAGAGGACGAUCAGACACACUGGAACUGAGACACGGUCCAGACUCCCACGGGAGGCAGCAGUGGGGAAUUUUCCGCAAUGGGCGAAAGCCUGACGGAGCAAUACCGCGUGAGGGAAGACUGCCUAUGGGUUGUAAACCUCUUUUUUCAGGGAGGAAUCAAUGACGUUACCUGAAGAAUAAGCAUCGGCUAACUCCGUGCCAGCAGCCGCGGUAAGACGGAGGAUGCAAGUGUUAUCCGGAAUCACUGGGCGUAAAGCGUCUGUAGGUUGUUGUUUAAGUCAACUGUUAAAUCUUGAGGCUCAACCUCGAAAUCGCAGUCGAAACUAUUCAACUUGAGUAUAGUAGGGGUAAAGGGAAUUUCCAGUGGAGCGGUGAAAUGCGUAGAGAUUGGAAAGAACACCGAUGGCGAAGGCACUUUACUGGGCUAUUACUGACACUCAGAGACGAAAGCUAGGGUAGCAAAUGGGAUUAGAUACCCCAGUAGUCCUAGCCGUAAACAAUGGAUACUAGAUGUUGAACAGAUCGACCUGUGCAGUAUCAAAGCUAACGCGUUAAGUAUCCCGCCCUGGGAAGUAU
rnacentral:rRNA from 1 species